UCCGGGAUAGCUGAGUCGAUAGAACAUGAGACUUAUAAUAAUAAUAAUAAAUAAAUCUCAGGGUCGUGGGUUCAAGCCCCACGUUAGGUGAA